GUGCUCACUUCAGCAGCACAUAUACUAAAAUUGGAAAGAUGCAGAGAAGAUUAACAGGAUGCCUGCAAAAGUAUGACAUACAAAUUCAUGAAACAUUCCAUAUUAAA
ensembl:snRNA U6 U6 spliceosomal RNA